CAACGACAACGGAAAGCAACUUGGACGUACACUCGAUGGAUUCCCUAUUCCCCCGAUGAGAUACAUAUAUUCUCCCUUUUCGAUUUAGGCGGAACCUUGACAAGAUGGAGGCGUUCUCCGCCCCAGCUCCCACGAGUCCUCCGCUUUCGCCUUCGAGGAGGAGGUGCCGGGAAGUUGCUCGAAGAUGUGAACGCCUAUGCUGUAAUGUGUUCAUAUAUUUCCCGUUGGCAUUCGUGUACGGACUUACGACAUGGUCUGUAUAUGUGGAAGCAAAGAUAGGAAUGCAACCAACAAAAAGCAGGUGGAUUGGUCCUGCAACAUCCGUUCUCGGAAUAAUCCUUUACAUCCUUUUAAAUUCUUCGUAUACGAUUGCUGUCUUCACAGAUCCGGGUUCUCCGUUGACGGGGCCUCGGACGAAUAGUCGCGGAAACGGACAUAUGUAUAGCUCUCUUCCCACGACGGAAACAUCCGGUUAUACAAACCUGACGGUGAGCUCGGCGGGUGGUAAAAGAUACUGCAAAAAGUGUAUGUGCAUCAAACCUGAUCGCACCCACCACUGUUCGUCAUGCCAGCGCUGUGUUCUCAAGAUGGAUCACCAUUGCCCUUGGCUAGCUACGUGCGUCGGGUUCCGUAACUACAAACCGUUUUUGCUGUUUUUGAUAUACACAUGUUUAUUUUGUUGGGUAUGCUUUGCAGUUUCUGCAACCUGGGUUUGGACAGAGAUAUUGAAUGAUACUCGGUAUAUCGAAUCAUUCGGUCCUGUCGCCAAUGUUCUCUUAGCCGUCAUAG
rnacentral:sRNA from 1 species